CUGAUUAGAAGCUUGCUUCUAUGACGUUAGCGGCGGACGGGUGAGUAACACGUGGGCAACCUGCCUGUAAGACUGGGAUAACUUCGGGAAACCGAAGCUAAUACCGGAUAGGAUCUUCUCCUUCAUGGGAGAUGAUUGAAAGAUGGUUUCGGCUAUCACUUACAGAUGGGCCCGCGGUGCAUUAGCUAGUUGGUGAGGUAACGGCUCACCAAGGCCACGAUGCAUAGCCGACCUGAGAGGGUGAUCGGCCACACUGGGACUGAGACACGGCCCAGACUCCUACGGGAGGCAGCAGUAGGGAAUCUUCCGCAAUGGACGAAAGUCUGACGGAGCAACGCCGCGUGAGUGAUGAAGGCUUUCGGGUCGUAAAACUCUGUUGUUAGGGAAGAACAAGUACGAGAGUAACUGCUCGUACCUUGACGGUACCUAACCAGAAAGCCACGGCUAACUACGUGCCAGCAGCCGCGGUAAU
rnacentral:rRNA from 1 species